AUUAUUACAUACAUGUACAUCAUCAGAUUCUGAAAGUGAACGUCACAUAUUUUGUUUCAAGUGUAUAUACUGAGCAUUUAUGGUGUGGAGCAUAUUCAGUUGAACCUGGCAGAAACCUGCAUAAGGACAACUGAAGACUCUGUUUUGAAGAUCUUGUUUAGUUCUAUUAAUCUAUAAAUCUUUCCCAACAACCAGUCAGAAAGAGGAGAAUUAUUUUAAUAGAUCUACUUGACUAGACCAUAAUGCACAAAAUAUUCACGUGAUGUAUCACACAGACGUGCUCAUAAAUGAACAGUGUUCGCAUUGUAUCAUUAUUAGGAAUCAAAAGGAAAAAAUGUGGAACGCUUCACAAAUUUGCGUGUCAUCCUUGUGCCUACUCCUCGUCCCCAUAAAUUGAAACAAUUGAAGAAUGCGUCUGCGUGUUAAAUAGCACGAGGUUCAAAAGCAGCACUUGCCUCAUUUGUUCUAAAAAAGCAGUGAACUUGUUCUCAAUCUGUUCUCAAUUCGUUCUGUAAGAUGGCUAGUUCCCAUAAAGGUUACUCAGACUCUUAUUGGACAUCGAAGAUUAAAGAGUUAGCUACUGGUAAACCGUUCCAAGAAAUUGAGAAGUGCCCCAAGCACAGAAACGCCAGCAAUAUGGAUGUGAUGGGGAAGGCCACCCGAUGCAUCUGUGGCUAUCACAAGCCAAAGACUUCUCCCUCACCAGUGAGUACGAACAAAAUAAUUUGGAACAUUUGGAACAAAUGAAGAACGCGCAUGCAUGCGUGGUCAAUUCAAAACAUUUGCACUCGUCUCAUUUCUUCUGAGCAUUUGAACUUGUUCCAAAUUCUUUCUGAAAUCGUCUCAAUCAAGCAAUCAAGAUGGCUAGUUCUGGAUCUCACAAGGGUCACUCCGACCAGAUUAAAGAUUUUGCUGCUGGUACACCGUUUGGAAGAGGAGAGAGGCCUAGGAAAGGCACCAAGUGGGAUCUUGUAUCCCAGAAAGUCGAGAAGUGCCCCAAAUACAGAAACGCCAGCAACGUGGAUGUGAUGGGGAAGGCCAUCCGAUGCGCUGGAGCCAUUGUUGACCUGCCAAACACGGUGGGUUCUCAAAAAUGCAGUGUUUCCCCAGUGUAAAGUUCAAACAGGGGGAAGGGAGCACUAUGUAAAAUUACUGGUAUCAGGGAAUCAAAAGGAAAAAAUGUGGAACGCUUCACGAAUUAGCGUGUCAUCCUUGCGUCGACGGGCCACUCCACUUCCCCAUAAAUUGAAAGGAAAAAAAUUGGAACAAUUGAAGAACAGGCACUGUAAGAGGAGAAACGGCACGGGUUUUGGCAGCACGCCCUGCACCCUUGCCCACUCCUCGAACGUUUACUAUGGCACGGGCUUUGGCAGCACACACUGCACCCUCGCCUACUCCGGCACGGGCUUUGGCAGCACGCCCUGCAUCAUCGUCCACUGUUCGAACGUUUAACAUGUCUCUUCAGGAUAAGGUAAUUAUACUGUACUGUUGUAAUUGUGUGCAGGUGAGCAAGCUGAGCCAAGACACCUCUCCUUCCUACUUAUCGGCCACCAGCUACAGUGGGGGUCAAUCAGUGAAGGUGUUCCAGCCUGACCUCGACACCGACGUCGAGAAGGAACUCGAUGGGGUGGAGGAUGAAGGCUUUCAAGAGGGCCCCGAGAUUGGUGGCACAGACCUUGACUCCUUCUGUGCACCGAAAGCUCUUGUGACAAGGAGUCUACUAAUGAGGAAGAGGAGCCCGAGGAGGCUCUUGACUCAAGGGGUAUUGCUAUACCCACUUCAUGGUUUUCCUUAGGCUGACACAAAGUGGAUAAGCUUGUGGAACUCCUCUUGGAAACAAAGGGCCGAGGCAUCAAGGAGUGUCAUGAAAACCUUGAGAGUACGAUAAACGCCCACUAAAAUAUCCAAGGGGGCGUUUCGGACGUUCUAAAAGUUCGCAAUCAGGCACCUUAAUCAAGUGGUACAAGAACACCGAGCGGGCUAAAGAGAUAAAGUGCCUCCUUCAAGGAACGAAGCUCCCAGAGCCCCGACUAACAGCUGUAUGUCAGCUCCCUUCAGCCCUGGUUCAACAAUCGGCAAUGGAUGAACCAACUGUGCCCCAUGAUUUCCCCGAGCCAGAGGACACUGCUAGGCAGGCAAGAGUGAGGAACAGGGGUCAGAACCAUCCCUCUCUACAGCUCCCCCUCCGCCACCUAUGGCGUCACCGUAAGGCUGGAGAAAUCCUUGACAGGGCCACUCACAACAACCUCGUCCAUAAAUGCCAGCGGUAUGUCAAUAGCACAAUUGUCUGUUUAGAGCCCGAAAACGUACUCGUGUCGGCAGUGUGUCCACUGAGGGGCACACGCAAUUUCGCGGCCAGCGCUACUGCCCCCAAACAGUAGGGGUUUCAAAAGAGGACUGGUUAGCCUCUAAGCGAGAGGAGUGGAAACUCAGUAAGUUCACCAUAGAUAAUUAUCGUUUUGUUUUUGUCCAAUAGAGCAACAAGCCAAGACAUGAUACAUACUAAUUAAUUUUUAGCCACCUUCUCAGGAGUAAGCAAUAUAAUAGAUCACGCUUGUGCCCCGGGGAGACUUCAUGGCUUGCAUCACCGCUACAAUACAACUGGCUCGAGUACUCGAGUACAUAUCCAAAACAGAUCGCAAUAGUACAAACUGUAUCCAACAAACUUGAUCUGCUUCUGCAAGACGUAAGGUUCUAGGAGCUACUUAGGAUGGUAAUUGUUCUGUCACUGAUGAAGGAAGUUUCAACUUUUUAUCUGACCGUCCACAUAAUUAUGACGAACACUCGAAACAUUCACAUCAAUGUUAAGAAGAUUUCAUGGGACAGCUGAUGUCCGUCACUGUAAUGUUACACUCUAUAGAAUCAAUGGUAAGAGGAUUUCAUGGGGACAGCUGAGGUCCUUGUAUGACCGAGACACAGCAGCUGGGUGUUUGAGGAGCUUGCGCUCAGGUUAGUGCAUAUAGGUUUUGAGUGAAUCUGUAAGCAAAGCUCUCAAAUUGACUUGUGCAUGGACUGGGAGAAGUGGGCCCUCUCACACAAUAAUAUGGUUCUCAGCUCAGAGACACGACUGGGAUUGAAAAUUACAUGUGAGGAAUAAUUAUAUUACAUUCACACCCACUCACAGUUUCUCGUUUAGGUAGUAAUUUGUCAUAUGUGAUCAAUGGCUUUCCUUUUCUUCCUGAGUUUGUGUACGACCUAUCACAUUGUAUAUCAAACGAUAGAUGCCUGGUGAAGUGGUCGAUACUAAUGUUAAGAAUGUGCUUGACAAGGUGUGAAUCCGCAGGCAUAUACAGGUGUUCGAGCGGUCCUUCAAGAGAACAAAACAAACUCAAACUCAGAGCAUGCUGACUCAUAAUUAUCUCAAUGUCAUGUCUACUGUUUUUUGUAAAUUUAUGAAUAAUUAAGGUGAUCGAUGAUAUAA